CACGUAGGGGGCAAGCGUUGUCCGGAUUUAUUGGGCGUAAAGAGCUCGUAGGCGGUUUCGUAAGUCGGGUGUGAAAACUCUAGGCUCAACCUAGAGACGCCACCCGAUACUGCGAUGACUAGAGUCCGGUAGGGGAGUGUGGAAUUCCUGGUGUAGCGGUGAAAUGCGCAGAUAUCGAGAGGAACACCUGCGGCGAAGGCGGGUUGCUGGGCUGACACUGACGCUGAGGCGCGAAAGCCAGGGGAGCGAACGGG
rnacentral:rRNA from 1 species